CUGCGCAAGGGAUCUCCACCCAAACCAGAGGCUUUCUGGGAGCAAUGAAGACACGUGUUCUGUCCAUAGAGGGGAUGAAGCCACCAAGUCACAUCCGGGUGUCCGCUGUGGGAGUUGCAGUUCUGUUUGUUACAACUCGGUGUGACGGUGCCAAAGUGAGGGACUUAAUGAUGCCCUGUAAAUAGGGCCUAACUCUCCACGCUGCUGAGCGUUCUCCACUGAGCUCAGAAUUGGGAGAUGGGAGACUGGAUUCGGUGCGGCUCGGAAGUGGCCGUUCCCGGGUUGUGAUUUAUACUGACCCUGUGUACUCUAUACCCUUAGUGCUCUGGGGCGCCUUUCACCUUCCAAACGUGGUCCGGCCAUUAAUCCUCACACGAUACCCCGGGAGGGGAGUAUUUCCCUGUCACCCAAAGUCGCACGUUGAGUGACCGCGAAGCGUUAGACUUUUGGGGAAUUCCUAGCCCCCACCCCAUUGCUAGUAGUCCUAGGCCUAGCCUCCAACUCCAGUAAGCACUGCUGACUUGUUCUCCUUGCUCGCAAUUUCAUAGCUUGGCUUGGUUCAAGUUAUUUCCUUCUAGCGCCUGGUAGGCACAUUUAUCUGCCAGUUUUCAGCUGGUUCAGUAAUUGUUUCCCAGCCAGAGAGAAUAGCCACCAACUAUUAUACUAACAGUUGAGCUUUUCCCUAGGAUGAUUUUGAAAUCAGGCACGCUCUUGCCAAACUCCAAAGCCAUUCCUUCGCUACAAGGCAGCCUGACAGCAAGCCAGCCAUAGCAGAUCUCCUGUCUCCACGGCUGAGCCGGCUCCACCUUGCUUGGGCUGGAGAGAAAAUCACGUCAAAUAUGAGGACCUUUGUUCUGCUCUUUGGAUGGGGGAAGGGAGGGUUCUGCCCUGUGGCUGUCACUGUAACCAGAUCUUGCAAUGCUUCCUGGGUAAUCCUGGCCAUUGCUCCCUUUGGAAAUCAUGGUCAGCAGCGGCAGUCAAAAACGAUGCAGAGCAUGAAUAACACGGUGUGAUCAACACUGGGGGAAACUAACAUUUGCACUUGCCAGGGCCACAUCAGCAACUUGUUCAGAUCAUCAGCGGCUGAGCCCAGUUUGCGUGCAACGAAGCACAUCACGGCCACCGUCGUCUUUAAUAUCAAGGCACAACUCUCAGCAGCAACAAACACUCCCUCCUGAGUUGAGUGGCCCUGCAGUCUUGGACCACGCUGCAUGUCCCUCAGGGGGUUUGUUUUUUCUUUCUUUAAUUUUUUGUGGGAAAUUUUCACUUCAGCUGAAAUUCUCCAAGUUUUCAGUAAAAAAAACCACACACCAAAACUAAAAAACUUUCAGUUUCUGUCUCCCCCCACCUUUUAAUUUCCUUUUUAUUUUCCCUGUUUCCAGUGAAAAAAGGGGAGAAGAAAAAGGGGGCAUAAGGAAAAAGGAUUGUUAUUUGUUUGUAAAAAAUCUGAAAAAUCACUCUCCGAAAAAUGGGUUUUAUUUUUCAUUCCUUUCAGAGAUUUGCCCAUAAAACCCUUUGUGACAGACUCUGUCCCUGCCACAUUUGGGACCUGAUUCUUUCCCAUCCUGGCUUUGCAUAGGCAUCAUUUCAUUGAGCUCAGUGGACUUGCUGCAGAUUCCCACGUGUGUCAUUUAGAUCAGAAUCUGGCCCCCUGGGUGUCUAGAUUUAGCCCAAGAAAAUGCCAGUGAUCUUGUUGCCCUGUUCCAUUCCAGCUUGUGUUGACGCACGUACUGCCUUAGAUAUCGGAGCCCCUCUUUUCAUGAGCAUAUAAAGUCUCGGGACACACUGGAGGCCAAAUAAAUCAUUAGCACCAUCACUAUGUGUGUGUGUGAUGUUAGGUUUCCCCUUGAUCCCGCUGCAGUUGUAACCACAGGCCCGGAAAGCUGGAGGAUCCAAGUACAUACCGAAGGUGUGAUACAAGGAUGCAGUGUUCGCACUACAGCUCCCAAGGCGGCUGCUGCAAGUUGGCUGGGUCAGCUCAGUGCAAACCGGCUGUAAGGAACCAAAACACAUUUGCAAGGCCUUCUGUUCCUUCAGGCUUUUUUGUUCUUUGAUCUCGACCCACACUGGGCUCCUCUCUGCCAGGAUAAACAUCCCAAUGUUGCAGGAUCCGCCCUGGCGGACGCCAAAGCCAGCCAGCGCAUCACGAACCUCUCCAGAAAAUACUGCGCUUGAGGAUGGGCUCCCAGAGCACCUGGAGGAAAGGGACGGCAGCUUCAGCUUCUCCACGCACCAAGCCACCUCCUGCCAUCCUCGCGUCAGCCCUGGCCACAUGGAACAGGCACUCGGGAUACAAAGACCACAUUUGUUUUGAGCUAAGGGUUCACCUGGCUUUGAAGUUACAGGCAAACCUUGAUUCACUCAAAUUCAGGUUUAACCAAAGAUUGGUUGUGUCCUCUGAGCCUGGAGAGGGCACGAAGCAGAGCAGGGAAGGGAUGAGGAUUGCCGAAGUUAGCCGAACUCCCAGCGUUAGCAUUAUUCCAGAAGCUGCCGGUUUCAUUGCCUGUGGGGUGUGUGCAGGGUUUCUCCAGUCCUGAACAUGACGUGGAGCUGCAUUGCUGCAAAGCUUAGGGGCUCCACGGGGCUGCACGGGGCUAGAGCUGCUGGGCUUUGCAGGAAUGGAGCUGCUGGUUCUCCAAACAGCUGAUCCUCAGAAGGUCUUGGUGUCUCCUCAGGAUUUGAGUACUUGGGUUUUGCCUGCAAACUCUGAUGCCAAACUCCUUUGGGUUGGCCGCCCCCGUUUGUGCACAAAGCUGGCCAGAGGAUUGAUUCAGAAUGAAUCUCGCAGCACAUGUGAACUGUCAGAACGAAUACGGCGUCUUUUUUAUUUUUGGCUGCAAAUGAUCUGUUGUAACCGUAACAUACAGUUGGCGUCAUUCGUGGCUUUCCCCAGCGGAUGGCUGGAAUUACAAAAAUAUCGCCAAAAAUGAAAAGCCUCCCGAAGGGACAACCAUUAGAGCUCCAUUCCUGAAUGGCGUAGGGUGGGGAUUAGUAAUAGGCUCUGUUCCUAAUCCCUUGAUCUUUUCACUGCUUGGGACCGUUGGUCUGACUCCCCGCUGAUUUGUGGUCAGUGGAUCAGGCCCCAGAUCUUGUUCGCUUUACUCCCAGAAGGAGUCCUCAAACAGAAUUGAGCCCUCGGUCAGCUGUUUGGUGGCUUAUAUGGGCCUGUCUGGGAAAUCUCAUAACCACUGGGAUGCCCGGAGUUAGAUGAGAUGAGGAUGACAAGGACAGAUCGCUUUCAGCACUGUGUCUGCUGGUCCUGGUUACAUUCAGAGGACUGCAAGUCAGAGCUCCUGGGUUCCAUUCACUGCUGCAUGGGGCCAGUUAACCCCUUUGGGCCUGCGUUUGCCCGUCCUCUAAGUAGAGAUGCUGCUGCUUCCCAGUGAGAGGCUCGGUGGAUGUCUGUAAAGUGUUUGGAGACCUCCACGUGAACAGUGCAAGGCCAGGGCAAAUCCUUCGGUUUUGUAAAGACAGUCUAGCCGUGAGCAACGCCCUAGCACUUCCCCGUUUGCACGGGAGAGCUCACCAGCACCGUGCAUGCUGGGACCCGGCACAGCGCAGGUGCCAGGUAGAUCAACACCUACAAACAGAAGGAAAAUGAAGUUUCAUGUUUGUGACGUAGCAGUCACCCUCCUUUCCCUGGCGGGGGCGUGCAGCACGUCCAUGUCAGCUUGCUGGAUAUUUGUGGUUCACUUUUUAACAACUCCAUCCUGGUUACUGAAGUUGAUCUUCUGCCAGCAAUGGGGAGCUACUGAAAGCAAAUCCAGAAGGAAGCAGGAACAAAAACUUCCUUAGAGGUGCUCACUGUAUUGUGUAUGUAUAAGAGACGAACCUGAUCCAGGAAGUUCAGAGCCCAAUCGGCUAGUGCCCCGAGUGUGUGAGGUUUGGAUCCAGGACUCGCUUUCUGAUACGUGCAUGUUUAUAAUAAAUAUUAUCAUCAAGCAACAGAACGGACUGUGAGGGAUGCUCCCUGUCCAAGAAACCUAAAUCUUCUUUGCAGAUCAUUCCUCGGCGAGCGAUGGGAUCUCAACUCACUAUCGUGUCUCCUCCGCUGGCCUGGGGCCCUUCCAAACCAGCAAUGUGCUGCAGUUGACAAAGAAAGGAGGAUUUAAUAGAAAUGCUCCAUCGUGCCACAUUUCGAGAGAAGUGCUGCUUUUCAUUGAAGCUUUCCAACAGCAGUUCUGUUUCCUGUGGCGCCGAAACAUUUCACCCCCCCACCCCCACCCCCAGAGAAACAUCUGGUUAAGGAUUUAGUUUUCGAAACACACAGACUUUGUUUUCAUUGUCUUGUUUUUCUGUUUGGAUGAGGGCGGCCUCAUCCCGUGUCCGUGCGCAGGAGAGCGAGCGUGUGAGCCAAAUAGCUAAUCACUUCCCCACUCCCUGCAAGGUACGUGUCCGAUUCACCAACUGCCUCGUAUUUAUGUGUAAUACCCUAGCUCCUAGGAGCUAGGCGCUGUACAAACCCAGGACAAAAAACCUGUCCUGACCCCAAUCUGCAGUUUGGAAUGCUGGUCCAAGGCAGACUUGUGCCAAGUGAAGACGGCAUUAUCUCCAUGCUAUCGGGACAAUACAUUGCCUGGUAGAUUUCAAGAGGACCUCAAAACCAACCCAAGAUAUUACCCAUUGUGAACAGAUAUGAAUUGAUUAUGUAAAAUCCUUCCUCAAAAAAGGGGUCUUGGCUGGAAUCUCCAGGGAAUACCACAGGAAACCACUGUGUGUGUCCCCAUUCCCAGUAAAACAUGCGAUGUCUCUUCAGCUGGUGUUUGACAGCUUUCCUGUAGCCAAAGCAUACCGCAUCUUGGACGGCUGCAGCGCCAGGACACCGGGAUGAAGUUUUGCUGGCCUGAAAUAACUUUAGUGCCCCUAUGAGCUUGCAGGCCUGGAAAAUGGGGUCUGCCCCAGAGCAUGAUGGGAGAGGGAGGUGCAGGCCUGCCUUCAUAGAGCGAAUCUAGCCAGGGGCUCUUCUAGCAAUAGAUAAACAAGGCAGCAGAUCUGGCUCCUCUGUCAGGACAAUUUGAGCGGCAUUGUGACCCUGCGGGCCAAGUUGCAAUGCUGCUCACUGCAGUUUGGCCCGGCCGCCUCUCUGGCGUGACGGAAGGGCGGCCAGGCCGAAUCGGCUGCUGUAGGCCUACGAGGAGGGGGCGGAACAUUGGUGUUCGAGCUGCCUGUGAUGGCAGCAAUCCUUCCCAGGGCCUUUAGGAAUGACCCCUCCAGUAAUGGGGCCUUAGGACUAGGAAUGAUUUGUGAUGUGCUAGCCCCUGGAGGCCCCGUUUGGGAAGCCAGACCCUUUCGUGCGAGCGGCUGCGCACGCAUCGUGAGACCGUCCCUGCGCCAAGGAGCUUAGAACGUAGAAAACGAGAGACAAGAGAAGGGUUCAGCAAACUGGAGGGGUGAGGCUACUGGGAGCAGCACAAUGGAGUGGUCCCCAGCGGCACAGAACUGCCACUUCCACAGCUUCCUGGUCUCCCAGGAGCCCUGCGUGGGGUGGGGUGGGGGGCAGAUCCGCUCCAUGACCGCAGAUUGGCCCUCAAUGAAAGCUCCUGUCAGCAGCAUUAGGCAGGAGUAAUGCAGCUCGUUCCCAGCAGCCACAGAGG